rnacentral:rRNA from 1 species
AUUGAACGCUGGCGGCAGGCCUACCACAUGCAAGUCGAACGAGUGGCGGACGGGUGAGUAAUGUCUGGGAAACUGCCUGAUGGAGGGGGAUAACUACUGGAAACGGUAGCUAAUACCGCAUACCCUCAGAUGCGCCCAGCUGGGAUUGGCUUCUUGGUGGGGUGACGGCUCACCAGGGCGACGAUCCCUAGCUGGUCGGAGAGGAUGACCAGCCACACUGGAACUGAGACACGGUCAGGACUCCUACGGGAGGCAGCAGUGGGGAAUAUUGCACAAUGGGCGCAAGCCUGAUGCAGCCAUGCCGCGUGUAUGAGGAAGGCCUUCGGGUUGUAAAGUACUUUCAGCGGGGAGGCGUUACCCGCAGAAGAAGCACCGGCUAACUCCGUGCCAGCAGCCGCGGUAAUUC